UGUCACAGGUGAGGAAAAUCCUCCUCCCCGACCCGGAAGACACUGACUUGCCCAAGGUCUCUCGGUAGAAGACAACUGGGAGCAGAGCCUGGGACAGACCAGGCCAGCCCCUCUCUGCAGAACCUGAGGGCAGUUUUCAGAAAAGAGGGAGUCCUGGGUUUUUAUCCCACCUCUGCUGUGUGACCCUGCAAAGGACCCUGGCCCCUCUCUGGGCCUCAGCCCACGUGCACAGCAAGGGAAAGGCCAUUUCAGUUUUGUCAUUAGAGACCCAACUCAGGCAGGCAGCCCGAGUACCUGAGGACUGAAGACCUGGAAGGAAUGCAGGCCUAUAAGGCAGAGAGGAUACUGAAGGCCUACAGAGGCUUUUAGCCCCAGGACUCUCCUCACCCUCUCUGCUACCAACUUCAAAGGCUAGGUGGAGGGGCAGCCUUCCCAGCUGUCUCUCCUCUGAGCUCCCCCUGCUCAUUCCUUGCCAGCCCCUCCUCCUCCACACCCACCCCUUCCCUGGAAUGCCUUGGCCUUUCACUGGCCCUUCCAGACUUGCUCCUCCAGGAAGCAUUCCUUCCAAGCAAGCUGAGCUGUGCAUGUGCUCCCUGAGGAGAAGCAACUGUGCCCCAGGGGUGUGCUGUCAGAUUGGCUCAUGAAGAAGGGAACACUUACAGGAAGCAGAGGGGCUGGAAGCAGAGCUGAGUCCAUCAUUUCAUAACACCUUCUUCUAGAUUACCUAAACAGCCUUCACAGCUGUCUUCAACGCCGUGAGGUCCCUGCCCCAAGUGGUGUAGACGGUAACAGCCUCCUAGGAUUCAAAUUCAGCUCACUCUUGUGGCCCUGCAUGCCCCACACUUCAAGGGACACUGACCCUCCAUAAUCAGGCCUAGGUGACCAGAGCCCAGAAUGGAAAAAAAGAGGACACAGGGAGGGCUUUAGGGUUAGACACAAGGCUAGAAUCCCCCCGUAAUGGUGGCAGCAGGGCACACACAGCUUGGGUGCAGAUGGUGGGGUUGGAUGCCCUGCAUAACAGGGAUCCCAGAUUCUCAAAAUGUUAUUUUGUUUAAAAAAAAAAAAAAGUCAUGAUCUAGCUGCGCCAGCUGUGUGAUCUCACAAUACUUCAUCUGAGUGUCAAUUUUAUCACCUGUGAAAGAAAGAAACUAUCUCCCAAGGAGCUUGAGAGAAACAAAUAAGACUGCCUGAAAAGUAGAGCACUGUGCCUGACACAUAAGCAAGCAGUACUGGUGGCUAUUGGAAGGACUGGCUUUUCCAGCCAUGAAUCCCAGGAGACUGGAGAAUGGCUCAGCAGACACUAAGCAGCUGGUGACUCCUGGUGGCCAGUGGGAGCCAGGACAAGGGAGUGGGCCUCCGGGGCUGAGGCUGGAAAAUAUUGGACUCCUAGCAUCUUCAGCUGUUAGACUUGCUGAGUUAGCCAUUUAAUAGACAUUUCCCAAGGCUCUCUCUGGCCUGGCCUAAUCCCAGGAAUUACUCUGUUCCCAUCCUGGCCUCUUCUAAGAGCUCCCUGACUGAAAAUGGAGGGAAGGAGACACAAAGAGGAGCAUAAGGAGAGAGGAGGCCCCUAGCCAGCCUGGUAAGUGAGGAAAGGCUCUCAGUGAGAUUAUCCCAAAGGACACAUUUGAAUUGGGGGCUGGGAGGGAAGAACAUUCUGGGCAGAGAGAAAAAUCAAUGUGCAAAGCACAUUCAGAGUAGCAAGGAAAUGAAAAUGCAGCUGAGGUCAGCGGGCUCACUCCUAAGGGGUUUGGAUUUAAUGCCAAGCAGCUUCUCUGCAGGCAGCCUGGGAGCUUGAAAGGGUUGUAUCUGUGACCAGGAUACCCUGGAAAGUCACUCUGGCCACGACAAGGGGCCUGGCUGGAGACACAGCAAGACUAGAGGGGGGCCUGCGUUGCAGCUAGGUUAAAGUUAGACACUCCAGCCCCUGGUGCCGGGGUAUGUGGGGCAGGAGGGGAAGAGACUUCUGUCAGGGGAGAUGAUGUCUGGGAGGCAGGUAGGUAUGUCACCUAGAGCCCAGGGGACAGCUGAGCCAAGAGCAGUGACCGGAGAGUCAGCAGAGUGUAGACUGGGUAUUUAAUCAACACGUUCUCUUUGGCCUGUGCCAAGAGCUUCACAGAUGCUAACACCUGGAGUCCAUACAGUACGUUCUGAGAGACGGCCCCCAGCCACCCAGAGAUGGGCGCGAUCCCCCCUCGCGCUGGCCCGCGCCUACCUGCUUUGCCGCUCCUCCAGCGUCGACUCCAGGGCGCCCAGGGCAGCGCUCUUCUCCACCACCUGCUGGGAAAGCCACAGAUAGGAAGGUCGAGUCCCACUUUUUAGAGCCGAGGGGUCAGUGGAAGAGACAAACUUCAGGCGAAGAAGUUCCUACCAGUGUGACAAGAGGAACAUGAGGAAAUAACCAAGGCUGGGACUCUGGUUGCUAACUUGUUCCUAUGUUCUUCUCACGUGGGCCUGGUGAGGGACGGAUUGAGGAGCAAGGCCAGGGCUGCUCGCCUACACUGACAUACCUCCCUGUGUGAGUGCUCCCACACCUGCCUACCUUCCUAGCUGGCCCAAUCCAUAAUGUUUGUAAUUCCUUUCACCACGGAGCAAUCUGACCUCCACUUCUGCUUCCUGGCCUGCCAUUUCCUUUCAUUGCUAUUUUGUAACACAGUAUUUGGGGGGAGGUUUUUCAAAAUCCAAAUAAUAGAGAUGGAAAACAGAUGAGUGAUUGGUUGCAGGGUUAGGGAUGGUUGGGGGAGGGGAGUGAGCUGCGGCCAAAAAGGGUAGCAAGAGGGAGAUCUUUGUAGUGAUGAAAUCGUGCUGUAUAUUGCUGGGCACACACAUCUACACAGGGGACACCAUGACAAAGAAAUACACGUACAUCUCAUACCAAUAUCAGUUUCCUGAUUGUGUGUACUAUAGUUACAUAAGAAGCAGCCAAUCUUUGCAACUUCCUAUGAUCUAUAACUAUCCCCCCACCAAGUAAGUUAAUGAUAAUGAUAUAUGCUUGUUGCAAUAUCCGAAACAGUACUAAGAAUUAAAGAAAAAGCCACUCCCCAUUCCCUGCACAUCCAAUGGGAACUGACUGGGAGCCAUUGGACCAGGGAGGAAGUGCUAAGGGGGUUCAUUGAGGUGUCCCAGACAAAGGGGAGUAUGAGUUCAGAGACAGGGAGAGUGGCAGGAGGCUGGAGAACUCCACUGGGAAGGCUAAAGGGCUCUGGAAGUUAUAUACGAAGCUGACAAUGGGAGAGACAGUGAGGGGGGUUCCACUUCUUUACUUCAUGGGCUUCUGUUCUCUUGAAAUGUUCACAACCUUGUAUAUCCAUAUUGUCUUUUUUAAGUGUGAUCUUUUUGUUAAUAAAAUAUAUCACUCUGGGGGUACCUGCCUGGCUCAGUUGGUAAAGCAUGGGACG